rnacentral:rRNA from 1 species
CGCUAUCAUCCUACGGGAGGCAGCAGUGGGGAAUAUUGCACAAUGGGCGCAAGCCUGAUGCAGCCAUGCCGCGUGUGUGAAGAAGGCCUUCGGGUUGUAAAGCACUUUCAGUCGUGAGGAAGGUAGUGUAGUUAAUAGCUGCAUUAUUUGACGUUAGCGACAGAAGAAGCACCGGCUAACUCCGUGCCAGCAGCCGCGGUAAUACGGAGGGUGCGAGCGUUAAUCGGAAUUACUGGGCGUAAAGCGCAUGCAGGUGGUUUGUUAAGUCAGAUGUGAAAGCCCGGGGCUCAACCUCGGAAUAGCAUUUAGAAACUGGCAGACUAGAGUACUGUAGAGGGGGUAGAAUUUCAGGUGUAGCGGUGAAAUGCGUAGAGAUCUGAAGGAAUACCGGUGGCGAAGGCGGCCCCCUGGACAGAUACUGACACUCAGAUGCGAAAGCGUGGGGAGCAAACAGGAUUAGAUACCCUGGUAG